UUCCCCCUUUUAAAGAUCUUUAAAAGGGGUAAUUUUAAAGAUCUUUAAAAGGGGGAA
rnacentral:sRNA from 1 species